AGGGAGCGGGAGAGGGGAGAGAAGUGAGGUAUAUAUAUUCGUCCACUUCUCUCCACAGACAUCAGUGUUGACAGAGACACACACACAAGCUUCCAAACAUGAGCCUUAAGGUCGCAGUAGUGGUGGUGGUGAUGGUGGUGUCGGCAAUGGCGGAACCUGGUGGAUAUGGACCUGUCUAUCCCUCGCAAAAGCACCCGUACAACUACAACUACCACGUGAACAGUCACUACGGCGCGAACUUCGGCCAGCACGAGCAAGGAGACGGGAAGAAUGUAUACGGCGGCUACCAUGUUGACCUGCCCGACGGCCGCCGCCAGACGGUGAGGUACGUCCGCUGACCACUACGGGGGCUACGUGGCACAGGUGAGCUACUACGGCAAGGCCCACCACCCCAAGCACUACGGCAACCCUCAGACCUUCUUCAAGAACCAUGGAUACGGCCACGGGGGGAUACCACUAACUGACACCACUGCUACUACUGCUGCUGCUACUACUACUACUAUUACUACUAUAAGGGCCAUGUAUGCUAUUGUCUUUCUUAAUUAAUACUACUGUUGAUAUCAAAGGCUGUUACUAUCAUUACUUUCAAGAUGUUCAGAAUAACUUAAAGAUAAAUUAACUAUACUACUACUACUACUAAUACUACUACUGCUACUAAUACUACUAAUACUACUACAAUUACUACUACUACUUACUAACAACACAAAACCAAUACGACUUCUUAAUUCUUACUAUUACUACUACAAAGGCAAUAGUAGUGAUGUUCGGUAAUUCCUAUAAACUGCUACCAAAGACUGACUACUACUACUACUACUACUACUACUACUACUACUUACUACUACUACUACUACUACUACUACUUACUACGAUUCCUAAAGGCUUUCAUGAACGACUAAGACCCCGAUCAACAAAGCAAGCUGUAAUUUAACUUCUCUGUCUCUAUCUUGUUACAAAUAAAGAUAACAACGUUGAGAAA